rnacentral:miRNA from 1 species
AUAGCCUUUUCCUCCCCAACAG